rnacentral:rRNA from 1 species
AGAGUUUGAUCCUGGCUCAGGAUGAACGCUGGCGGCAUGCCUAAUACAUGCAAGUCGAACGGACCGAAGGGAAAGCUUGCUUUCUCUGAAGUCAGUGGCGAACGGGUGAGUAACACGUAGGUAACCUGCCCAUGUGCCCGGGACAACGCCUGGAAACGGGUGCUAAAACCGGAUAGGUAGAGAGAUCGCAUGAACUUUCUAUUAAAGGGGCUACGGCCCUGAACAUGGAUGGACCUGCGGUGCAUUAGCUAGUUGGUGAGGUAACGGCCCACCAAGGCGACGAUGCAUAGCCGACCUGAGAGGGCGAACGGCCACAUUGGGACUGAGACACGGCCCAAACUCCUACGGGAGGCAGCAGUAGGGAAUUUUCGUCAAUGGGGGGAACCCUGAACGAGCAAUGCCGCGUGAGUGAAGACGGUCUUCGGAUUGUAAAGCUCUGUUGCGAGAGAAAAACGACACGGAUAGGGAAUGAUCCGUGGGUGAUGGUAUCUCGCCAGAAAGUCACGGCUAACUACGUGCCAGCAGCCGCGGU